GGCCGCCUGGCGUAAUGGCAACGCGUCUGACUACGAUUGGUUCAUAGUAGCCGUCUAAGAGAUUGCAGGUUCGACCCCUGCGGUGGUCA